GGGUUGUGAGGUUAAGCGACUAAGCGUACACGGUGGAUGCCCUGGCAGUCAGAGGCGAUGAAGGACGUGCUAAUCUGCGAAAAGCGUCGGUAAGGUGAUAUGAACCGUUAUAACCGGCGAUGUCCGAAUGGGGAAACCCAGUGCAAUUCGUUGCACUAUCGUUAACUGAAUACAUAGGUUAACGAGGCGAACCGGGGGAACUGAAACAUCUAAGUACCCCGAGGAAAAGAAAUCAACCGAGAUUCCCCCAGUAGCGGCGAGCGAACGGGGAGCAGCCCAGAGUCUGAAUCAGCUUGUGUGUUAGUGGAACGGUCUGGAAAGUCCGACGGUACAGGGUGAUAGUCCCGUACACCAAAAUGCACAGGCUGUGAACUCGAAGAGUAGGGCGGGACACGUGGUAUCCUGUCUGAAUAUGGGGGGACCAUCCUCCAAGGCUAAAUACUCCUGACUGACCGAUAGUGAACCAGUACCGUGAGGGAAAGGCGAAAAGAACCCCGGCGAGGGGAGUGAAAAAGAACCUGAAACCGUGUACGUACAAGCAGUGGGAGCACCUUCGGGUGUGACUGCGUACCUUUUGUAUAAUGGGUCAGCGACUUAUAUUCUGUAGCAAGGUUAACCGUAUAGGGGAGCCGCAGGGAAACCGAGUCUUAACUGGGCGUUAAGUUGCAGGGUAUAGACCCGAAACCCGGUGAUCUAGCCAUGGGCAGGUUGAAGGUUGGGUAACACUAACUGGAGGACCGAACCGACUAAUGUUGAAAAAUUAGCGGAUGACUUGUGGCUGGGGGUGAAAGGCCAAUCAAACCGGGAGAUAGCUGGUUCUCCCCGAAAGCUAUUUAGGUAGCGCCUCGUGAACUCAUCUUCGGGGGUAGAGCACUGUUUCGGCUAGGGGGUCAUCCCGACUUACCAACCCGAUGCAAACUACGAAUACCGAAGAAUGUUAUCACGGGAGACACACGGCGGGUGCUAACGUCCGUCGUGAAGAGGGAAACAACCCAGACCGCCAGCUAAGGUCCCAAAGUCAUGGUUAAGUGGGAAACGAUGUGGGAAGGCACAGACAGCCAGGAUGUUGGCUUAGAAGCAGCCAUCAUUUAAAGAAAGCGUAAUAGCUCACUGGUCGAGUCGGCCUGCGCGGAAGAUGUAACGGGGCUAAACCAUGCACCGAAGCUGCGGCAGCGACACUAUGUGUUGUUGGGUAGGGGAGCGUUCUGUAAGCCUGCGAAGGUGACCUGUGAGGGUUGCUGGAGGUAUCAGAAGUGCGAAUGCUGACAUAAGUAACGAUAAAGCGGGUGAAAAGCCCGCUCGCCGGAAGACCAAGGGUUCCUGUCCAACGUUAAUCGGGGCAGGGUGAGUCGACCCCUAAGGCGAGGCCGAAAGGCGUAGUCGAUGGGAAACAGGUUAAUAUUCCUGUACUUGGUGUUACUGCGAAGGGGGGACGGAGAAGGCUAUGUUAGCCGGGCGACGGUUGUCCCGGUUUAAGCAUGUAGGCUGGUUGUCCAGGCAAAUCCGGAUAAUCAAGGCUGAGGUGUGAUGACGAGGCACUACGGUGCUGAAGUAACAAAUGCCCUGCUUCCAGGAAAAGCCUCUAAGCAUCAGGUAACAUCAAAUCGUACCCCAAACCGACACAGGUGGUCAGGUAGAGAAUACCAAGGCGCUUGAGAGAACUCGGGUGAAGGAACUAGGCAAAAUGGUGCCGUAACUUCGGGAGAAGGCACGCUGGUGUGUAGGUGAAGUCCCUGCGGAUGGAGCUGAGACCAGUCGAAGAUACCAGCUGGCUGCAACUGUUUAUUAAAAACACAGCACUGUGCAAACACGAAAGUGGACGUAUACGGUGUGACGCCUGCCCGGUGCCGGAAGGUUAAUUGAUGGGGUUAUCCGUAAGGAGAAGCUCUUGAUCGAAGCCCCGGUAAACGGCGGCCGUAACUAUAACGGUCCUAAGGUAGCGAAAUUCCUUGUCGGGUAAGUUCCGACCUGCACGAAUGGCGUAAUGAUGGCCAGGCUGUCUCCACCCGAGACUCAGUGAAAUUGAACUCGCUGUGAAGAUGCAGUGUACCCGCGGCAAGACGGAAAGACCCCGUGAACCUUUACUAUAGCUUGACACUGAACAUUGAGCCUUGAUGUGUAGGAUAGGUGGGAGGCUUUGAAGCGUGGACGCCAGUCUGCGUGGAGCCAACCUUGAAAUACCACCCUUUAAUGUUUGAUGUUCUAACGUUGGCCCCUGACCGGGGUUGCGGACAGUGUCUGGUGGGUAGUUUGACUGGGGCGGUCUCCUCCCAAAGCGUAACGGAGGAGCACGAAGGUUAGCUAAUCCUGGUCGGACAUCAGGAGGUUAGUGCAAUGGCAUAAGCUAGCUUGACUGCGAGCGUGACGGCGCGAGCAGGUGCGAAAGCAGGUCAUAGUGAUCCGGUGGUUCUGAAUGGAAGGGCCAUCGCUCAACGGAUAAAAGGUACUCCGGGGAUAACAGGCUGAUACCGCCCAAGAGUUCAUAUCGACGGCGGUGUUUGGCACCUCGAUGUCGGCUCAUCACAUCCUGGGGCUGAAGUAGGUCCCAAGGGUAUGGCUGUUCGCCAUUUAAAGUGGUACGCGAGCUGGGUUUAGAACGUCGUGAGACAGUUCGGUCCCUAUCUGCCGUGGGCGCUGGAGAAUUGAGGGGGGCUGCUCCUAGUACGAGAGGACCGGAGUGGACGCAUCACUGGUGUUCGGGUUGUCAUGCCAAUGGCACUGCCCGGUAGCUAAAUGCGGAAGAGAUAAGUGCUGAAAGCAUCUAAGCACGAAACUUGCCCCGAGAUGAGUUCUCCCUGAGACUUUAAGUCUCCUGAAGGAACGUUAAAGACGAUGACGUUGAUAGGCCGGGUGUGUAAGCGCAGCGAUGCGUUGAGCUAACCGGUACUAAUGAACCGUGAGGCUUAACCUUACAACGCCGAAG
rnacentral:rRNA from 1 species